GCUGUUCGUGGCGCCCCGCUGCUCUCCACUCUGAUUGGCUGUUUGGGCUCGGUGGGCGGGGCCUCCGGGGACAAUAGAGAGCGGCUCCAGGGAGGCUGAUCCGCGGGCAGACGGUGCCGGGGAUCCGCGGUGCGAAGCUCCAGGUCCGGACCGGGACGGAAGACGCUGCUGCCGCCGCAGGAGGAGCCGCGGCUGCGGUCAGAGGAGCCGCGGAGCGCCGCUGGGUGGACGGACUGCUGCAGCUGCGAUCAGGAACCUCCGUCUGCAGACCGGCUUCCCGACCCGACGGCACAAUGAACCCGGCGCCGCCCGGCUGCCGCUCGCCCGCCGACAUCCUGGAGGAGCUGCAGCUGAUCGCGGCUCAGAACCUGGAGACGCUGGACAUCAGCCGGUACUACCAGGUGGUCCGAGAGCUGGGCAAGGGAACCUACGGGAAGGUGGACCUGGUCAUCCACAAGAUCCGAGGCACCAAAAUGGCGCUGAAGUUGCUGAGAAAGAAGAGCACCAAGCUGAAGAGCUUCCUGCGGGAGUACAGCGUGUCGCUCUACCUGUCGCCCUGCCCCUUCAUCAUCAACAUGCACGGCAUCGCCUUCCAGACCGACGACUUCUACGUCUUCGCCCAGGAGUUCGCGCCGGCGGGGGAUCUGUUCGACAUCAUCCCGCCGCAGGUGGGACUCCCUGAGGCCGUGGCGAAGCGCUGCGUCCACCAGGUGGCCAUCGCCCUGGACUACCUGCACUGUAAGAAGCUGGUCCACCGGGACAUCAAACCGGAGAACGUCCUCAUCUUUGACACCGAGUGCAGGAAGGUCAAGCUGUCGGACUUCGGCAUGACGCGGCGCGCCGGCUCUCCGGUGAAGCGCGUCAGCGGCACCAUUCCGUACACGGCGCCGGAGCUGUGCGACGCGGCGCGUCACGACGGAUUCAGCGUGGACUUCAGCACGGACGUGUGGGCGUUCGGCGUGCUGCUGUUCUGCAUGCUGACGGGGAACUUCCCCUGGGAGAAGGCCAUGACGAACGACGCCUUCUACGAAGAGUUCGCCCGCUGGCAGCGCCGCCGGUCCGGCGCCGCGCCGUCGCAGUGGCGCCGCUUCACGGACGAAGCUCUGCGGAUGUUUCGCCGGCUUCUGUCCAUUGAGCAGCAGCGCCGCUGCGCAGUCAAGGAAAUCUUCAGCUACUUCAACCACAGCUGGAUGUUGGACACGGACAACGGGAACGGCGGCGCGGCGACCGCCAACGCCGUGGACAUCAGCUCGUCUUCGUCUGAGGAGGAAGCGCUGGUGGACAGGCUGAAGCAGCAGAGCCUGUCGCCCGCAUGCGCCGCGCCCAAGCCCGGCUUCAUGGACGCGCACUCCGCCUCCAACGGCGAGCGAGUCAGCAGGAGCGGCAACGAAAGGGGGCGGAUCCUGGUGACCACGCCCAUCGAGAUCUGCGUGUAGAGACGCAGCGCCGCUGCUGCCUGUUGGAGCGCGAGCCGAAGAUUUCCCCGACGUGAUGACGCCAUGACGGAAGAGCGGGAAGGAGGUCGGCACCGGAAAAUGGCCGCCAGCCUGUUGUACCUUCAGCGCCGAUCCAACCCGACCGUUUCCGAACCGGAGGAAACGAGACGCGUGAAAAUCAAACCGUGAGGUGAACUCAGUCCGGGGACCAGCAGAAACUGGAGCCUGGAAGAGAACCGGAAGCUGAGAAAGACGUGAUGAAAACUGUGACUCGUGUUUACCGUCGUGUUUCUGUGAAGAUUUGGCACCGAAAGCUUCUUCAGUCACUGUCGUGUUUGGAUGCCCUGACCUUUGACCCCAAGGGAAUCACUGGAGAUUAAAACGAAGAUCAGAGACCAAAACCAACGAUGCAGAUCAGCUGGAGGUCCAGAACAACCCGAACGCCUCAGAGCCAGAGGCUCCAGAACCAACUCAGCCUACAGAACUUUGAGUUUUCAUCAUUUAUGAGCCAUAAUCAUAAAAAAUACAAGAAAUAAAAGCUUUAAAAUGUCACGGAUCUGGAAUAAGUAAAAUAGUCGACUAUAAUAUUCUGAGCUGCAGUUUAUGUCUGAGAUGAGGAAAAAAUAUCCAAACUUUUCUCCAGUUUUACUCUGAAUUAAACAACAAGUCCUGGUUGUCAAACACUAAAUGCUCAUCAAUGUUAUUGAAUCUUUACAAACAGAUGAAUUGCAUUAAACUUAUUUUAACAUGUUAAAAUCUGUUAGUAUUUGAAAUGAACUUGUUAAAAUCCCAGUGAACUCGUUGCUCAGCUGUUG